GUGCCAGCAGCCGCGGUAAUUCCAGCUCCAAUAGCGUAUAUUAAAGUUGUUGUGGUUAAAAAGCUCGUAGUUGAACCUUGGGCCUGGCUGGCCGGUCCGCCUCACCGCGUGCACUGGUCCGGCCGGGCCUUUCCCUCUGUGGAACCCCAUACCCUUCACUGGGCGUGGCGGGGAAACAGGACAUUUACUUUGAAAAAAUUAGAGUGCUCCAGGCAGGCCUAUGCUCGAAUACAUUAGCAUGGAAUAAUAAAAUAGGACGCGCGGUUCUAUUUUGUUGGUUUAUAGGACCGCCGUAAUGAUUAAUAGGGACAGUCGGGGGCAUCAGUAUUCAACUGUCAGAGGUGAAAUUCUUGGAUCAGUUGAAGACUAACUACUGCGAAAGCAUUUGCCAAGGAUGUUUUCAUUAAUCAGGAACGAAAGUUAGGGGGAUCGAAGACGAUCAGAUACCGUCGUAGUCUUAACCAUAAACUAUGCCGACUAGGGAUCGGACGGUGUUAUUCAUGACCCGUUCGGCACCUUACGAGAAAUCAAAGUGCUUGGGCUCCAGGGGGGAGUAUGGUCGCGAGGCUGAAACUUAAAGAAAUUUGACGGGAGGGCACCACCAGGGGUGAAGCCUGCGCUUUAUUUUGACUCAACACGGGGAAACUCACCAGGUCCAGACACAAUAAGGAUUGGACAGAUUGAGAACUCUUUUCUUGAUUUUGAUGGGUGGUGGUUGCAUGGACCGUUCUUAGUUGGGUGGGGUGACUUGUCUUGCUUAAUUGCGGAUAACGAACGGAGACGCUAACCUGCUGAAAUAGCCCGCAAUGGUCCGGCAGGUGCGG
rnacentral:rRNA from 1 species